CCCCGGGAGGGGAGUGAAAGAGUUCCUGAAACCGGUCGCAUGCAAGCCGUCAGAGCCUGUGUGGUGAUGGCGUGCCUUUUGAAGAAUGAGCCUGCGAGUUAGUGAUGCGUGGCGAGGUUAACCCGUGGUGGGGGAGUCGUAGCGAAAGCGAGUCCGAUAAGGGCGUGAGUCGCGUGUUCUAGACCCGAAGCGGUGUGAUCUAUCCAUGGCCAGGAUGAAGCGUCGGUAAGACGUCGUGGAGGUCCGAACCCACUUCAGUUGAAAAUGGAGGGGAUGAGUUGUGGAUAGGGGUGAAAGGCCAAUCAAACACCGUGAUAGCUGGUUCUCCCCGAAAUGCAUUUAGGUGCAGCGUUGCGUGGUUCUUGUUGGAGGUAGAGCACUGGAUGGUCUAGGGGGCUUAUCGGCUUACCGAAAUCAGCCAAACUCCGAAUGCUGGCAAGUGUAGCGUGGCAGUGAGACGGCGGGGGAUAAGCUUCGUCGUCGAGAGGGAAACAGCCCAGAUCAUCAGCUAAGGCCCCUAAGUGGUGACUCAGUGGGAAAGGAUGUGGAGUUGCGUAGACAACCAGGAGGUUGGCUUGGAAGCAGCCAUCCUUGAAAGAGUGCGUAAUAGCUCACUGGUCAAGUGAUUCCGCGCCGAUAAUGUAGCGGGGCUUAAGUUAUCCGCCGAAGCUGUGGCAACCUGUGUGGUUGGGUAGGGGAGCGUCGUGUCAGUGGUGAAGCUGCCGGGUGACUGUGUGGUGGAGUUGAUGCGAGUGAGAAUGCAGGCAUGAGUAGCGUGUGACGGGUGGGAAUCCCGUCCGCCGAUUAUCCAAGGGUUCCAGGGUCAAGUUUGUCUGCCCUGGGUGAGUCGGGUCCUAAGGCGAGGCCGACAGGCGUAGUCGAUGGGUAA
rnacentral:rRNA from 1 species